rnacentral:rRNA from 1 species
AUUGAACGCUGGCGGCAGGCCUAACACAUGCAAGUCGAAUGGUAACAGGAAACAGCUUGCUGUUUCGCUGACGAGUGGCGGACGGGUGAGUAAUGUCUGGGAAACUGCCUGAUGGAGGGGGAUAACUACUGGAAACGGUAGCUAAUACCGCAUAACGUCGCAAGACCAAAGAGGGGGACCUUCGGGCCUCUUGCCAUCAGAUGUGCCCAGAUGGGAUUAGCUAGUAGGUGGGGUAACGGCUCACCUAGGCGACGAUCCCUAGCUGGUCUGAGAGGAUGACCAGCCACACUGGAACUGAGACACGGUCCAGACUCCUACGGGAGGCAGCAGUAGGGAAUAAUGCACAAUGGGCGCAAGCCUGAUGCAGCCAUGCCGCGUGUAUGAAGAAGGCCUUCGGGUUGUAAAGUACUUUCAGCGGGGAGGAAGGGAGUAAAGUUAAUACCUUCGCUCAUUGACGUUACCCGCAGAAGAAGCACCGGCUAACUCCGUG